AGAGUUUGAUUCUGGCUCAGGAUAAACGCUGGCGGCGUGCAUGAGACAUGCAAGUCGAACGAACGAGCUUGCUCGUUAGUGGCGGACGGCUGAGUAACGCGUAGGUGACCUGCCCUGAAGUGGGGGAUAACUGCCCGAAAGGGUGGCUAAUACCGCAUGUGGCGACACGUUCAUUCGUGUCAUCAAAGCCGCGAGGCGCUUCGGGAGGGGCCUGCGUCCGAUUAGCUCGUUGGUGGGGUAAUGGCUCACCAAGGCGACGAUCGGUAGGUGGUCUGAGAGGACGAUCACCCAGACUGGGACUGAGACACGGCCCAGACUCCUACGGGAGGCAGCAGUCGGGAAUUUUGCUCAAUGGGCGAAAGCCUGAAGCAGCAACGCCGCGUGAGGGAUGAUGGCCUUCGGGUUGUAAACCUCUUUUAUCAGGGACGAUGAUGACGGUACCUGAUGAAUAAGUCACGGCUAACUACGUGCCAGCAGCCGCGGUAA
rnacentral:rRNA from 1 species